GAUGAACGCUGGCGGCGUGCCUAAUACAUGCAAGUCGAGCGAACAGACGAGGAGCUUGCUCCUCUGACGUUAGCGGCGGACGGGUGAGUAACACGUGGAUAACCUACCUAUAAGACUGGGAUAACUUCAGGAAACCGGAGCUAAUACCGGAUAACAUGUUGAACCGCAUGGUUCAACAGUGAAAGACGGUCUUGCUGUCACUUAUAGAUGGAUCCGCGCCGCAUUAGCUAGUUGGUAAGGUAACGGCUUACCAAGGCAACGAUGCGUAGCCGACCUGAGAGGGUGAUCGGCCACACUGGAACUGAGACACGGUCCAGACUCCUACGGGAGGCAGCAGUAGGGAAUCUUCCGCAAUGGGCGAAAGCCUGACGGAGCAACGCCGCGUGAGUGAUGAAGGUCUUCGGAUCGUAAAACUCUGUUAUUAGGGAAGAACAAAUGUGUAAGUAACUAUGCACGUCUUGACGGUACCUAAUCAGGAAGCCACGGCUAACUACGUG
rnacentral:rRNA from 1 species